CAACUUAAGAGUUUGAUCCUGGCUCAGAAUGAACGCUGGCGGCAGGCCUAAUACAUGCAAGUCGAACGCACCUUCGGGUGAGUGGCGCACGGGUGAGGAACACGUGGGAAUAUGCCUUUUGGUACGGAAUAGCUCCGGGAAACUGGAAUUAAUACCGUAUGGUCCCUUCGGGGUAAAGAUUUAUCGCCAAAAGAUUAGCCCGCGUCUGAUUAGCUAGUUGGUGGGGUAACGGCCUACCAAGGCGACGAUCAGUAGCUGGUCUGAGAGGACGAUCAGCCACACUGGGACUGAGACACGGCCCAGACUCCUACGGGAGGCAGCAGUGGGGAAUAUUGGACAAUGGGCGCAAGCCUGAUCCAGCCAUGCCGCGUGAGUGAUGAAGGCC
rnacentral:rRNA from 1 species